rnacentral:piRNA from 1 species
UAGAAUGUGAUCAGGUUCUCUGCCCGUGU